rnacentral:rRNA from 1 species
UUAUAAAAAUAUAAAUGAAUUGUAUAUAUCUUUUAUAUUAUAUCUAAGAUAUACAAGUAUAUAAAGAGACUAUUAUGGAAAUACGUGCUAUGUAUUAAAGAGAGAAAUUUAACUUAUGUACAUGAAUAAAACAUAUGAACUCUUAGAGAAAUUAUUUAAUAAACGAAGUGAAUUGAAAUAUCUUAUUAACUUCAGGAAAAAAAAUCAAACGAGAUUCUAUGAUUAGUGUGAACUAAAAUAGAGUAGCCUAUAUAAAUAAGUAAAAUGGCCUAAAAGCUGUUUGAAUUUAUGGGGAACCUUCCUCAAAGCCUAAAUAUAAUACAUGAGCGACAGUGAAAAGUACCGUGAGGGAAAAUUUUUUUGAAAUAGUAGUUUUAUAAGCAGCUCAAGCUGAUAAUAAAAAGCAAGAGCGUACCUUUUGCAUAAUGGGUCACCAAGUUAACAUUAGAUGCGAGCUAAUUAUCUUGAUUUGAUAGAUGACAUGCAUAGUUAAACCGAUCAUUAAAAUAAUGAAUAGUGUCUAAAGUUAGACCCGAAGCCUAGUGAUCUUACUAUAGUCAGGGCUAUAAAGGUCCGAACGGGUUAUCGUUGCAAAGAUAUCCGAAGAACUAUGGUAAGCGAGUGAAAGACAACACUGACUAGGAUAGCUGGUUUUCUGCGAAACCUAUAAAAGUAGGCAGUUUAAGUAACAUCUUAGCAGGUACAGAACUUUAUCUCAGACAAGAUGUAUAUUCUCAUAUGGAUAAGUAAGGCGCGGCGCGGCGAAAGCUCUUCCUCGCUAUUUAUCUAUUUAUAUGAAAUACAUUUUAUUUGUAUACAUCGGGGGAUCGUGAAGAUUUUAUCGGUGAGUAUGUAGACUCGGAAUGACAAAGAUGGUUCUUGAAUUAUCGGACAUAGAAUGCUAAGGUUGUAUGUCAAAAGGGAAACAGCCCAGAACAAAGAAAUAGUUAAGGUUCCAAAAUUAUUAUUAAGUGAAAUUAAGAGGGUUUUUAUAUAAGUCGACAAGAAGAUAGGCCUGGAAGCAGCCAUAUUUUAAAGACCUCGUAACAGAGCACUUGUUAAAUCUUAAAAGCAUCGAAAAUUUAUCGGAUCUAAAUAAUAUACCGAAACUUUGUCCACAAAUGACCAUAAUAAAUUAAGUUAUGGUCAUUUUUGUGGGGUAGCAGAACGUUGAGUUAAUAUUUGACUUUUCUUUUUUAAAGAAAAAUAUAGGACAACUCAAGUGAUAAUGGUGACAUGAGUAACAAAAAAGAAGGGCUAUGUAAAUUAUAAUAUAAUAUAAUAUUAUAUUAUAUGUUAAGCUCUCUCGCCUAAAGCUUAUGGAAAGAGUUUUAAAAAAGUAACGGCCUCUAAGUUGAUAAUACUUAUAUUAUUGCGAUGAGAAAAUCUAAUUACUUUAGACAACAUUUAACCUUCAAGGCACGGGCAAGCACCUCGAAAAAUUUAUUUUUUUUGAGGAGCUUGCAACCGCGCCUUGUAGGGAGUGAAAAAUGUGCUGGAAAAAAAAGUAACCGAUCUGAUUUUCUUUAUAAAACUAAGUGGGUGACACUACUCAUGCAUGCAAACUACUGCGUAGUUAAGCCAGCAUGUAGUACGUAGUACCACUCGCUUAAUUAAGGAAAUAGGAGAAGGAAGUACCGUACCUAGAAACUGAAACAAGUAAGCUAGUAGAGAAUACGAAGGCGUAAUGAGGUAACAAUCAUAAAGGAACUCGGCAAACUUACUACCGUAACUUAGGGAUAAGGAGGGCUCAUUAGUCUCGAUUAAUACGAGUAAAAAGGAAGAAGCAUGAAAUAUUGUUGUACGACUGUUUAAUUAAAACAAAGCACUUUGCAUAAAGAUGAAAAUCUAGGUAUUGAGUGUGAUCUCUGCCCGAUGCCGGCUGGUUAACGAAUUAACUAUAUUGAUAAAAGUAUGGUCUUAGAGGAACCCCCGGUUAAUGGCGGCCUUAGCGUGAGGGUCCUAAGGUAGCGAAACGCCUUGGCCGUUAAAUGCGGUCUUGCAUGAAUGAUGUAACGAUACAACAGCUGUCUCUAUGAUUGACUCAGUGAAAUUGGAAUAGCAGUGCAGAUACUGCUUACCUCUAGUUAGACGAGAAGACCCUAUGCAGCUUUACUGUUACUAAUUAUUGAAUAUGAUCCCGGCUAUUCUGAGUGUAUAAGGUAAUUGAUAAAAUAUAAUUGAAACACCUUUAUUAUUCCAUCAUAUUAUAAUUUAUUUAUUUUAAAUUUAUCUUAGAUUUUUAUACUAUGCACUACUAAACGUGCUAGUAUGGAAAUCAGUGUAGCUAUAUGCGGAACUAAAUAAGAAAGUCAACCGAAAUAAAUAAAUCAAACUACAAGGACGGCGCUAUAUAUAGCUCGUCGUCAAAAUACGUAUCAGUAUGGUGUGAUAAGGCAAUUUUGUGGCGCAGCUACAUAGCUGCACCGCUAGUUAGUUGACACCUCACUAUGAAGUUACUAAUUUACGAACUAUAAAAUUACGAAGUUAGGAACUUCGUAGUUUACUCAUACCAAUACAAUACGUAUUUAUAAGGUAGAACAAUUGUUAGGAGACAGUUUAUGCGGGGCACAGACCCCAUAAAGAGUAAAUGGGUGUGUCUAAUAAUAAAAAAAUUUAUGUUUGCAAUUUUUUAUAGUAAUCCUAUAUUUAAUCAUGUAUGUUCUAUUCAUAGAAUAUAAUAUGAAUGAAUUCGAUUCAUUUAUAAUAUAGUCCUUGGGUACAGUAUAAAAAUUAUAUAUGUAUUUUUGCAAUAUAAUUUCCAUGAAAUUAGGAGGUAAGAUUUUAUUUAUAGUGAAAUUAGACGUAAUAAAGUAAAUAUUAUGAGAUAGGCGCAAGCUCGAGACACAAGUUCUGGCGCAAGCUCUGGCACCUCGAGUUUGCACCUCUCUAAUAUUUUACUAUAGUUAUUAUUUAGUGCUGCUGUGCUUAAAAUAUUUAGCGCAAGCUAAAUCUAAGCCUGAAGUAUGCUACGCUUAAAUUAUUUUAAGUGUAAGCUUUUUAAUAAUAAAAAUGUUUGUUACUUAUAAAGCUUAAUGGCUUAAUCUUGCCUUACUGUUUGAUUAACAACAAAUCUUACAGUCGCGUAAGCGGGGCAUAGGAUCACAAGAUACAAAAAGGAGAGAUCUUGGAUUAUUGGAAAAGCUACGCUAGGGAUAACAGGCUAAUUUGCGCAAGAGUGUACAUAAUGAGUGCGCGGUUUGGCACCUCGAUGUCGGCUUAACUUAUCCUCACGGAUGCAGAAACUAUGUAGGGUACGACUGUUCGUCGAUUAAAAAGUUACAUGAGCUGGGUUAAAUACGUCGUGAGACAGUAUGGUUUCUAUCUUCUAGAGGGAAUUAGAAUAUAACAAGGAUUAAUCUUGUACGAAAGGAACAUGGGGUACUGUUGUAUACCCAAAAGGUAUGCCAAUUUUAUUAACCUCUGGUUUACCUGUUGUUUAUGUGCCUUGUAUUAAUUUCUUUUUUUUCGACGUCGUACGAAAGAAAAAAAAGGAAAAUGGGAUGUUAUAGUCACUAACUAAAUAAAUAACAUAAGCAUGGCAGGAAAGCUAAGUUAGUCAAAGAUAAGUGCUGAAAGCAUAUAGGCACGAAGCUUGUCUUGGGAUAUUUCUUAAAUAUACGUAAUAUAAUAUUACGUCAUUAGGCUUAAUUUGCAAGAAUCUAGAGAUUUUAAGGUAUUAAGUACUAAUUUUAUAGUAAACUAUAUAAUUGAU